rnacentral:tRNA from 1 species
GGGGUCGUAGUUCAGUUGGUUAGAACGCCGGCCUGUCACGCCGGAGGUCGCGAGUUCGAGCCUCGUCGACCCCG